AUUGAACGCUGGCGGCAUGCUUUACACAUGCAAGUCGAACGGUAACAGGGUGCUUGCACCGCUGACGAGUGGCGAACGGGUGAGUAAUGCGUCGGAACGUGCCGAGUAGUGGGGGAUAACGCAGCGAAAGUUGUGCUAAUACCGCAUACGUACUGAGGUAGAAAGUGGGGGACCUUCGGGCCUCACGCUAUUCGAGCGGCCGACGUCUGAUUAGCUAGUAGGUGGGGUAAAGGCUCACCUAGGCGACGAUCAGUAGCGGGUCUGGGAGGAUGGUCCGCCACACUGGGACUGAGACACGGCCCAGACUCCUACGGGAGGCAGCAGUGGGGAAUUUUGGACAAUGGGCGAAAGCCUGAUUCAGCCAUGCCGCGUGUCUGAAGAAGGCCUUCGGGUUGUAAAGGACUUUUGUCGGGGAGGAAAUCCCCAGCGUUAAUACCGCUGGGGGAUGACAGUACCUGAAGAAUAAGCACCGGCUAACUACGUGCCAGCAGCCGCAGUAAGAC
rnacentral:rRNA from 1 species